UUAACGGUAGUUCAGUGGUUAGGAUGUCGGAGUACUGAUCGGAAGGUCGUGAGUUCAAAUCCCAACUGCCACU